rnacentral:rRNA from 1 species
UACGUAGGGACCGAGCGUUGUCCGGAUUCAUUGGGCGUAAAGAGCUCGUAGGCGGCUGUUCAAGUCGAACGUGAAAACUCGGAGCUCAACUCCGAGCCUGCGUUCGAUACUGGACGGCUAGAGUCUGGUAGGGGAUCGUGGAAUUCCUGGUGUAGCGGUGGAAUGCGCAGAUAUCAGGAGGAACACCGGUGGCGAAGGCGGAUCUCUGGGCCUUACCUGACGCUGAGGAGCGAAAGCGUGGGGAGCGAACAGG